rnacentral:rRNA from 1 species
UAACAAGGUUUGCGUAGGUGUAACCUGCGGGAAGGCUCAUUGUACGAGCACCCUCCGACGCUGCUGCUGGCCGUCUCGACGGCAUGUGCACGCGUCGGAUUGACCUCAUUCACCACAAGUGCACCUCUGGUAGGUCGGGGAAACCCGAUCUUACGAUCGCAUACACACAUACAUGUCGUAGAACUAGAUUGUAAUAACAAUACAACUUUCAACAACGGAUCUCUUGGUUCUCCCAUCGAUGAAGAACGCAGCGAAAUGCGAUAAGUAAUGUGAAUUGCAGAAUCCAGUGAAUCAUCGAAUCUUUGAACGCACCUUGCGCCCUUCGGUAUUCCGAAGGGCAUGCCUGUUUGAGUGUCAUUUUGUAUCGUCCACGGCCUUUUCGAAGGCGCGGUGGGUCAGUGGAGGACUUGCCGGGCACGCGCUCGGCUCCUCUUAAAUGCAUUAGCGACGGUCUGACCUUGCAGAGCCCCUCCGACGUGAUAAGACCUAUCCGACGUCGCAACCUGCGGGGUCCGCUCGCUUCUAACUGUCGCGAGACAACGGAGGCCCUUGAAAAGGGGCCUUUCGACGCUCUGACCUCAAAUCAGGU